rnacentral:lncRNA from 1 species
CGUUCUUGCCAAAUCUUCGAUAGCGUCUCAGCAAAGAAACCUGCAGCCGUACGAGCUUGCUUUUCAGUACCGAUAUUUUGCACAGUUCUGAUUUAUAGUUUGGAGUGUAAUGAGAGGGUCUUGCAGCUUUUCUUUUUGUUUGUUUGUUUUUUUUCCCCAAGAAAUUGCUGUUGAACAAGAAGACUUGCAAGACAGUGAAGGUUUCUAUCAGCUGAGAUCAACACUGGUGUUGCAAGGGACCCAGCAGACACAUAAGAUAUUCUCGUGUGCAUGUCUGUUUUCCUUCCUCGGGAAUGAAACAUGGAAUAUUUCAUCAGAAGAAAUAUUUGUUUCCUUCGACAAUAAGUCUAAUGAAACCUCAUCCAGAGCUUUUACCACCAUGGCUUUAGAAGGUAGGAUAAAUUAGAGAACAAAAUAACUUGGGUUAUGUUAGAGGUGCAUCUAUAAAUUCCUAAAGCUGUUGGAGAAAUGUUUUUGCAAACUUGGUUCUGGAUGAGUAGUAAGGUACCCCUUUCUGCAGCUAUGACUUCAGAGAAAAUAUAAUAAACAGAUAUUUUGGUGGUGUAAUCUAUCAUAAUUAAGCCCAAGCAUAAUUAAACUCCAGCCUCGAGGGGCACAAUGUUAUUUCUGCAUUUCGGCUGGCAUUUGAAUAUAGCUUUUUCAGCACCGAACUGGUAAUUAAAAAUAACAGCCCUAUAAUGGUUCUACCUUCUGCUUAAGUCCACAGCCAAGAUCCUCAACAC